GAUGCGAUCGACCUCUUCGUCGAUCUCUCUGCCUUCUUGGCGUUCUUCCGCAUCUCCCUGUACGGCAUCAUCCUCGCCUCCAGAUCUGUCUGCUCAGCCGACGAUGCCGCUGCUCCGUCCGUCACCUCUCUCACCUCUUCCGACAGAUCCGCUCCGAUCUAUCCGAGAUCACGGAGGAUCGUGGAAGGUAUGGCACAUUAGUGAGGAAAAAUUUGUAGAUCUGAAGUUUCCUUGUGGAUCUGCUGUGUGGUUCUUGGAGCAGGUGGUGUGCGAGUUAUAGAUUGGCUUGGACGAGUCGUAAUCAAGCUCGGCUUCGGCAUCGAGAAGGAGGAACUGGGGCGUCAGGGGAUUAGGAUCGCCCAUCCAUUUAGGUGUUCACUAGAUAGAGGUAAGGAUAUGCGAUCGAGAAGUAGUACUGCUCCUCUUUGAACUGCAGCGCCCCGAUCCAACCCUUGGGGUGGGUUUGGUUGGAACCGGGGAGGAUCUGGGACGGUGGCCACGGCAGCGAGGGACUUUAGGAAGAGGGACGGACAAGGGAGUCGGUG
rnacentral:lncRNA from 1 species